rnacentral:lncRNA from 1 species
AAUCAAAGUUAUUUUCUUCCAUAGAAAAUAUAUCCAAUAUAUGCCCUACAUUAGCUUUGAAAAGUUUCUUUUCUUCUCCCCUUAUGGCACAUAAAAUUGACUCAUCAAAACAUUGUUUAAAUUCUUUAGGCAUAGGAAAAACUAACAAACUAUAUACAAGUUUGAAAACUUAUGUUUAUCAAUUUUAGUCAUAUGCUUUGAGUGAAAAACAUACCUCAUGCCUUCAUUUGUUCACCACUUCUUUAUAAACAUAUAUAUAAUCACAUGACCAACCGGAAUUCUCAUAUAAAUAGAUAACAUACAAAUGAGAAUUGUCACGUAAUUACUGCAAACCUCAUUCACUUGUAUAAUGUUCUUGUUCUUGCCACUGGAUGCUUUCUGCCAUUCUCAGUCAAUUCACAAUUUAUGCAUCAAUUUCAUAAUUAACUAGUCAUAUACAAUUGACUAUACUGAGAUAUGAAAGCAAAAUUGUAGACAAACUAAUUUGAUUAGUCAUGCAUAUUCCUUACGAGUUAAUAUCACUAUGACCAUAAGCAACAAAAGUACUGCAUAACUAUUGCUUAUCUGCCAGAUUAUACAUAUAUUUGUGUGUCUUGUAUGGGAUCAUCUCAAGCUUAAAGCAAUAUAUAACCACCCAAUCCUUGUAUAAAAACACGCCAUAUGUCCAUUUUGCUACAUGUUUGCAAAUUUAAAAUUUAAUCCAUAUUGAUUACUUCCCGUAGCAACCAAUGACAUGGCAAUCCAAUUCAAUCUAUAUAUAUGUCCCACACAUUAUCAUAACUAAAAAAAA